rnacentral:rRNA from 1 species
AUGUAUGUACUUUAUUUUUAUUUGUUGACAGUAUCUCUAUUCCUAAUGUCUCAGUUGGUAUUCUCCGCGGUUAAUUUUCGUCCCACCACUUUCGUCCAAUUUUUUUCGCUGGUUUUUUUCGUCCCCUCCUCACCCCACGCACGCAGCCAAAAAACACCCCGCAAAAAACCGCUCCUAUCGAUCCGUCGAGGACACAGAGCCGCCGAUCCGCUCCUCCCCGAUGCCGAUCCGGGCAGACGCGCCCGUCGUGGAUCACGAGCGCCCGUCGCGGAUCAGGAUCCUCAGGACGCCGCCGCCGCCGCGGAUCCACUGCCACGCACAGCUCGGGCCCGAGCCGCGAUGGGCUCGGCUAUGGCCGCUGCCGCGUGCGCCCUUCGUCUCCAGGCUCGGCGAGCCCCACCGCCAGCCACCCCCAACCCACAUCGGCGUCAAGCUAUCUCCUUGGUGCUGUUGUCCUCGAUAGGCUAA